rnacentral:lncRNA from 1 species
AUUAGCGAUUUUCUUUAGCGAGACCGGACGAGAUAUCGAGAGUUAUCGAGAGAACUCGAAUCGACUUGGUUACUUUGGUUAUCCGCAUGAUGGCGCUUCAGUUCUCGUUCGCGCGAUUUCGGAAUACUAUGACGCCUAUCGUUAGUUUCGUUUAUUAAUUAUUUUUGUUAGUUUAAUCAAUAGAUAAUUAAAUAGCUAGAAUAUUGUUAGAAACAAUGAAGAUUAAUAGACAUAUUCUCAUACGAUGAUAAUAUACACCACGAAAUGUUGCUUGAAUACGUUAUGUUCUGUAUCUUUUAUAGUCAUCUUUGAUGUUUAUUUUUCGUAUAUAAACAAUGUCGUUUAUAAUUCUCAUUUUGUUCCACAAUCUUUAUUGAAUCAGUUCGACAUUAGUGCUCGUAACGUGAAAGUUUUAAAACGAUAGAAGGCAAAGAAAAGAAGUAACGAUCGGAGAAAGAAUAUCAAAUUAAAUUCGCGCCUACAAUAUGUCGCCAUUUUUUUUCCUGGGAAUUUCGAAGCUGUCAUUGGGGGUGAAUAUACUUGAUAUCUGGUCAUAUCUAUAUUUCGAAUCAUAACAUAACGUGAUGAACAACACAUCACUGAUGAACAAAAACAUCAGUGAUGAUAAAUUAAUGUUUCCAAAA